rnacentral:rRNA from 1 species
GAUGAACGCUAGCGGCAGGCCUAACACAUGCAAGUCGAGGGAGAAGCCCUUUCGGGGGCAGAAACCGGCGCACGGGUGCGUAACGCGUAUGCAACCUACCUUUCACAGGGGGAUAGCCCGAAGAAAUUUGGAUUAAUACCCCAUAAUAUUAUUGGAUGGCAUCAUUUGAUAAUUAAAACUGCGGUGGUGAAAGAUGGGCAUGCGUCCUAUUAGCUAGUUGGAGUGGUAACGGCACCCCAAGGCUACGAUAGGUAGGGGUCCUGAGAGGGAGAUCCCCCACACUGGUACUGAGACAGGGACCAGACUCCUACGGGAGGCAGCAGUGAGGAAUAUUGGUCAAUGGUCGGAAGACUGAACCAGCCAUGCCGCGUGCAGGAAGAAUGCCUUAUGGGUUGUAAACUGCCUUUAUAUGGGAAGAAUAAGGUGUACGUGUACAUUGAUGACGGUACCAUAUGAAUAAGCAUCGGCUAACUCCGUG